UUCACCGGUGGGGAUAUUCAACAGAUCCAGCUCGUAAAACCGCCGCGAGGUACCUCAGAUCAAACCCCGCUGAUUGCGUUUUACCCCUGCAGCCACUACCGAAGGGGAGAGGGAAUCAUCCUGGGUUGAGCAAAUUUCCGCUCGGCAGCCCUUGCCUGUGUGCCCUGCCCUCAACACCACAUUGCCCAUACUUCGUGAGCGACCCCGCCUCGCCACAGUCACUGAGAUUUCCACAGCUCCACAGUCACUCCGGCCCCGGUCAGACUUCCGGGCUUUAUCCCAGGAUACCAGCUC
rnacentral:lncRNA from 1 species